rnacentral:lncRNA from 1 species
AUUCUCUAGAUCAGAAAUCAGACAACUUACAUUGGCACCUUUGGGCCACUAGGUGGAGACUGCGAACAGCCUCCAGGGUAGCUGCGGAUGUGCAGAAUCGGCAGCUGCGCAGUGGAGGAAAUGGAGGAUCCGAUGCUGGCAAGGUCGUUCACCCUCAGGAUGAAACCCGCUGAAGAAGAUACACCGUACCUUCUUUGAAGAUUCUAAAAGAGAGGAAAAAUUUUACAAGAUCAACCCAAAGAUACAUGCAGAUUGGUUUCAGAAUCAGAAGAUCAUACUGAGGAAGCGAUGUUACCAAAUAAAUGCUGCAUUAUCAGGCAAAACUUUUUCAAUUUCGGAUUGGAAUGUCCAGUCAUUUUCCAAGGUACCUGGGUCAGGUCCCCUUUCACCACUGCUUUCAGAAAUCAGGGAGCUUUCAUAUAUUCAUAAAAGAGUUACACUGUUUCACAAAUAUUACUUUGUAGGAAAAUCCACAUUGAUGUUUCUAGAGAUUGUGGGCUUAUUAUUUAUGUUAUAA